GCGGAAUCACUGGGCUUAAAGCGUGUGUAGGCGGGUCUUUAAGUGUCUUGUGAAAUCCCACGGCUCACCCGUGGAACUGCUGGGCAUACUGGCGAUCUUGGGCCAACUAGGGGCAGCCGGAACAAGCGGUGGAGCGGUGAAAUGCGUAGAUAUCGCUUGGAACGCCAAAGGUGAAAACAGGCUGCUGGGGUUGUGCCGACGCUGAGACACGAAAGCCAGGGGAGCAAACGGG
rnacentral:rRNA from 1 species